GCUUAACGGUCCACCACUACCCUAAGAAGCGCUCGAUCUCGUCUGAUCUGCGGACCCCGCCUAAGCAGGGUUUGUCCUGAUUAGUACUUCUGGAUGGGAGACCAACCUGGGAAUACCAGGUGCUGUAAGCU
rnacentral:rRNA from 1 species